rnacentral:rRNA from 1 species
CGGACGGGUGAGUAAUGUCUGGGAAACUGCCUGGUGGAGGGGGAUAACUACUGGAAACGGUAGCUAAUACCGCAUAACGUCGCAAGACCAAAGAGGGGGACCUUCGGGCCUCUUGCCAUCGGAUGUGCCCAGAUGGGAUUAGCUGGUAGGUGGGGUAACGGCUCACCUAGGCGACGAUCCCUAGCUGGUCUGAGAGGAUGACCAGCCACACUGGAACUGAGACACGGUCCAG